GUGGGGAAUCUUAGACAAUGGGGGAAACCCUGAUCUAGCCAUGCCGCGUGAGCGAUGAAGGCCUUAGGGUUGUAAAGCUCUUUCAGCUGGGAAGAUAAUGACGGUACCAGCAGAAGAAACCCCGGCUAACUCCGUGCCAGCAGCCGCGGUAAUACGGAGGGGGCUAGCGUUGUUCGGAAUUACUGGGCGUAAAGCGCGCGUAGGCGGACCAGAAAGUUGGAGGUGAAAUCCCAGGGCUCAACCUUGGAACUGCCUUCAAAACUCCUGGUCUGGAGUUCGAGAGAGGUGAGUGGAAUUCCGAGUGUAGAGGUGAAAUUCGUAGAUAUUCGGAGGAACACCAGUGGCGAAGGCGGCUCACUGGCUCGAUACUGACGCUGAGGUGCGAAAGCGUGGGGAGCAAACAGGAUUAGAUACCCGUGUAGUCC
rnacentral:rRNA from 1 species